UCGUUCAGUUGUCAGGGAAAUCAAAACAAUAUCAAGCGGGAACAAAACGGGCCGAGACCUACCGUAACCGUCAAGAAGUUUGUUUCAGUAAAAAGGGGACCCUAAUUGGAGUGAGACUUCACCAUUGAGAUGCUCCUGUCGGAUAUCACACAAUCGGCCACCUGCACAUGACACAAAUUAUGUGUCCGUACAAGACGACUUGUCAACGACUCUUUGGGACAUUUGUGAAAACAGGAGGACAGCCAGCCAAACCGACUCCCGUUUAUCACAAAAUAAAGACAAAUGUUCAUUUGAGGUGAACUGCAUUACAGAAAUGCCACCCUGCGGCAAAGCACAAAAAUCACCAGGAUAUGGGGUUGGGGUGAAGUGCGCUAAAAGGUUACCUGCCAUGCAGAGACCCUUGGUUGUCUGUCACGUCUCAUCAACACAACUCAGAAAGAGACUGACAUGUCUCUGACCACUCAUUCAGCUCCAUAAAUACCUAAAAAUGAUAGUGUUUUUGUGUUCAUUUUCAGGAGGAUGUAUAUAUGGAUUGAUAAAGUCAUGUUAUUUCGGUGAUUGGAAAUCAGCCUUUUUAAAGGGGUCAUGAAUUGCCUUUUUUAUUUUGUACUGUUCUCUGAGGUCCACUUUUUAUUAUUAUUUUUUUUUUACAUCAAAAAACAUAAUUUAGAAGUAAUAAGCUAUUUUUUAUAGCCGUUUAGUAAUAUAUGUAUAGUAAUAUAGCUGUUUUAACCCCCCUCAUCAGAACACUCCGUUUGAAUAGGCUUGGCAGAUUGUAGACUCAGAAGUAAACACCUACUGCUAUGAUUGGCUAAUAGUUGUGUAUGUUUGACAGUGUGCAUUGCUCAUACAGUCAUGGUCAAAAGUUUUGACAGUGACAUAAAUUUUGUGUUUUGCAAAUUUUGCUGCUUAAGCUGUUGUGGUGUUCAUUCACAUUGUUUCUAGGUUAUUGUAUAGAGUUCAUUUUAAAUAACUGCUAAAAGCUUCAUUGGCAAAAAAAAUAACUUUUCACAAAACAAAACAAAACAAAAAAACAGUUUUUUGAUCCUGACACAAAAUGACCAGAUAACAUUAAUUGACUAAUCAUAGCAGCAGCACAUGUGAAAGUGUGAAUGAGUACUAGUCAGGUAAA
rnacentral:lncRNA from 12 species